AUUGAACGCUGGCGGCAGGCCUAACACAUGCAAGUCGAGCGGAUGAAGGGAGCUUGCUCCUGGAUUCAGCGGCGGACGGGUGAGUAAUGCCUAGGAAUCUGCCUGGUAGUGGGGGAUAACGUCCGGAAACGGGCGCUAAUACCGCAUACGUCCUGAGGGAGAAAGUGGGGGAUCUUCGGACCUCACGCUAUCAGAUGAGCCUAGGUCGGAUUAGCUAGUUGGUGGGGUAAAGGCCUACCAAGGCGACGAUCCGUAACUGGUCUGAGAGGAUGAUCAGUCACACUGGAACUGAGACACGGUCCGGACUCCUACGGGAGGCAGCAGUGGGGAAUAUUGGACAAUGGGCGAAAGCCUGAUCCAGCCAUGCCGCGUGUGUGAAGAAGGUCUUCGGAUUGUAAAGCACUUUAAGUUGGGAGGAAGGGCAGUAAGUUAAUACCUUGCUGUUUUGACGUUACCAACAGAAUAAGCACCGGCCAACUUCGUG
rnacentral:rRNA from 1 species